GACUAGAACCCAGGUGCAGCACAUUGUCUGUGCUUGCUCUUUCCUGUGUGGCUGUUCAGUGUUCCCGGAAGGAAGCAUGAGCUGGUGUGGACUUCCAGGGGCCUGGAGGCUGAGAUACCAGAGCGGUUCAACCUUCUGCCCCCUGGUGAAUACUGUUGCUAUGACCAUUGUUUUGCUGGUGUGGUGGCUGAUGUCUGCUAUCUUAGCACCUGGGAGGUUAUAGGAGGAGGAUCAGAAAUUCAAGGCCAGUAUUAACUACACAGAAUUCCAGGUACGCCAGGCUCUCUCAGGAGACGGAGGCAGGAGGCAGAGUUUGAGGCCAGCCUGGUCUACAAAGUGAGUUCCAGGAUAGCCAGGACUAAGUGAAGGGACCUUGUCUCAAAACAUACAAAUAAAGAGAUAAAUGUUUCAUGUGA